UACGGGGGGGGGCAAGCGUUGUUCGGGAUUACUGGGCGUAAAGGGCUCGUAGGUGGCCAACUAAGUCAGACGUGAAAUCCCUCAGCUUAACUGGGGAACUGCGUCUGAUACUGGAUGGCUUGAGUUUGGGAGAGGGAUGCGGAAUUCCAGGUGUAGCGGUGAAAUGCGUAGAUAUCUGGAGGAACACCGGUGGCGAAGGCGGCAUCCUGGACCAACACUGACACUGAGGAGCGAAAGCCAGGGGAGCAAACGGG
rnacentral:rRNA from 1 species